rnacentral:rRNA from 1 species
UGGGGAAUAUUGGACAAUGGGCGCAAGCCUGAUCCAGCCAUGCCGCGUGAGUGAAGAAGGCCCUAGGGUUGUAAAGCUCUUUCGCCCGAGACGAUGAUGACGGUAUCGGGAGAAGAAGCCCCGGCUAAUUCCGUGCCAGCAGCCGCGGUAAUACGGAAGGGGCUAGCGUUGUUCGGAUUUACUGGGCGUAAAGCGCGCGUAGGCGGCCGAUCAAGUGAGGCGUGAAAGGCCCGGGCUCAACCCGGGAACGGCGCUUCAGACUGAUCGGCUUGAGACCGGGAGAGGGCGGUGGAAUUCCGAGUGUAGAGGUGAAAUUCGUAGAUAUUCGGAGGAACACCGGUGGCGAAGGCGGCCGCCUGGCCCGGUUCUGACGCUCAAGUGCGAAAGCGUGGGGAGCAAACAGGAUUAGAUACCCUGGUAGUCCACGCCGUAAACGAUGGGUGCUAGAUGUCGGGGAGCUUAGCUCUUCGGUGUCGUAGCCAACGCGUUAAGCACCCGCCUGGGGAGUACGGCCG